UACGUAGGGGGCAAGCGUUGUCCGGAUUUACUGGGUGUAAAGGGUGCUCAGGUGGCUUGGUAAGUCAGUGGUGAAAUCUGAGAGCUUAACUCUCAAACUGCCAUUGAUACUUCUUAGCUUGAGUACGGAAGAGGCUGAUGGAAUUUCAGGUGUAGCAGUGAAAUGCGUAGAUAUCUGAAAGAACACCAGUGGCGAAGGCGGUCAGCUGGUCCGUUACUGACACUAAAGCGCGAAAGCGUGGGUAGCAAACAGG
rnacentral:rRNA from 1 species